AUACAGGUGUAGUUCAGCGGGCCACAGUCGUGUUCCCUGUAGGCAGACCAGCUCGUGCAGUUUUGCACUUCGGCCCAGAGAAAUGGCUCAAGCGAGCGUUGAUACCGUUCUGCAGUACAUGGCAGAAUCCAACGUUAACUUCGCAUUCGACAUGCAUAAGACGAUGGACGCGGGAAACAUCUUUUAUUCUCCUCUCAGCAUACAUGUGAUACUUACACUAGUAUAUUUCGGUGCAAAAGGUGAAACAGCUCGGCAGAUCCGAGAGGGUCUCCGUUUACAUGGUAACGACGAUGUCAUAGAGAGAGGCAUCGAGACUACAAUGCGUGAGU